UUUGAGGGCAGUGGGUUCCCAUGCCCAGCCCCAUGAAGGACGGGGUUCAUGGAAGACCCCAGUAUUGCAAGUCUGUAGCCAGCACGGGGGGCCUGCAUUCCUUCUGCAGGAGAAGCACGAAAGAGCUAUUCUUCUUAAUUUGCCAAGGAGGAAACUGAGGCCCAGCAGGGCAGGAGAACCCAGGUUACAGCGCAGGUGGGAGGCUGAGCUCAGCCUCAAGUCCCAUCUGCACGCCCAAGGUGUGGCCCCCCUUAGUAGGAGUCGCGACUCAGGGUGACGCUGUUUCUCGGCCCAGGGGGCAAAAGAGCCCGACCGGAAGCUGCUCUUGGAAGACAGAAGCCCAUGUGCACGGAAUGCGCCAGCGCCCAGCAGAAACAAUGAAGUGAUUUCCACCCUUGAACUUGGGAAUGAAGAGAGGCAAAAUCACAGGCUGGGAACCGCAGCCUGAAUUGGAUGAACUUAUCUUGUGGUUGACUUGUGCAUGUAUGAGUUUCACGCCUGAGAACAGGAUAGGAACUUUUGAAAUGCAGCCCACGCCCUCUGGCCCUCGUGUGUACAGAGCCGCCUUCGUUGGGUGACUCAGGGUAAUGACUGAGCAACAACUGUUGGCUUGAGUGGUGCCGGGGAUGCCCUGGGAGGCUCUCCCUGCCAUGCUGCCUGCCCUGCACCAACAGGCCCCUGCUCCAUGGCUGCAGCCUCUAGCCUGUAGCCUCCAGCCUGUCUGGCCAUCUACCGGCAGAUGCUGCUCCCAGGGUCUGCCUCCCGCAGCGCGCGCCUCUGAUUCAGCCUUCCAAGCUCACAAAACAAAGUAUGUGUAACGGAAGUGUUGUGUGGAACUCAGGAGCUGAUGGUCUCAUCUGGGCCCAGCUGCCUCUUUGCAGACUUUAUGGCCUUCACCUGGGUUUGCAGAAGGCACAUAGUUUCUGGGUCUGGAUAAGCAAUGGGUCCUGGAACAAAAACUCUAGAGACCGGAGGCUAUUCAUGACAGGCUCCAUUUCUUAUUGAACAUUCAGUUCACCAUCAGGUCUUGUCUAGUCUACCCCCAGAGCAUCCAUUUUUCCAUCACCUUGGCCACCACUACCAUCCCCUGGCUCCUGGCUGGUAUCUCCAUGGUCCCACCUUUGGGACUUUGAGUAUGCAAUGUUUUUGAAAGACUCAG